CGUCUCAGCGCCACAUCCGGGCCAGUGCGGGUGUCCUGUCUCCACGUGCCCGAAGUUCAGCCCUCAACGCUGGUGCCUUGCUGACUCGGCUAAAAGCUGGGAUGAGCUGGGAUGCUCCCGUGCU